rnacentral:rRNA from 1 species
AUUGAACGCUGGCGGCAGGCCUAACACAUGCAAGUCGAGCGGAGCGGCGGACGGGUGAGUAAUGCCUAGGAAUCUGCCUGGUAGUGGGGGAUAACGUCCGGAAACGGGCGCUAAUACCGCAUACUAACAGAUGAGCAUAGGUCGGAUUAGCUAGCUGGUGGGGUAAGGGCCUACCAAGGGGACGAUCCGGAACGGGUCUGAGAGGAUGAACCGUCACACGGGGACUGAGGCACGGGCCAGACUCCUGCGGGUGGCAGCAGUGGGGAAUAUUGGACAAUGGGCGAAAGCCUGUGCCAGCCAUGCCGCGUGUGUGAAGAAGGUCUUCGGGUUGUAAAGCACUUUAAGUUGGGAGGCGUUACCAUCAGAAUAAGCACCGGCUAACUUCGUGCCAGCAGCCGCGGUAAUAC